AUCAUCCAUACACAUAAAAUUAAGAAAUCGUUAGAAUCACCAUGAAAAGUACAAUCAACAUGUAUCUUAAUAAAUGUAACAUUUGGGUUCCUUACCAUUUCAUCGAAAGCAAGGUUACUUACCAUUUCUAUUUCCAUCACAUAUUGUUAUUUUUCUUACCGCUAUCACUGGAGGUCCAUAAGGAUCUCUACUACAUGCUGAUGUACAAAUAUUUCUUUUACAAUUCAUCGGCUGUCCCCAUACCCUGUUCGAUAAUGGAUGCUACAAUUAUAGACUGUCUCAAUAUCCCGUC
rnacentral:lncRNA from 1 species